GCGCCCAUAGCUCAACUGGAUAGAGUACUUGACUACGAAUCGAGCGGUUAGAGGUUCGACUCCUCUUGGGCGCA
rnacentral:tRNA from 1 species